GGGCCCGCACAAGCGGUGGAGCAUGUGGUUUAAUUCGAUGAUACGCGAGGAACCUUACCAGGGCUUAAAUGUAGAUUGACAGGUUUGGAAACAGACUUUUCUUCGGACAAUCUGCAAGGUGCUGCAUGGUUGUCGUCAGCUCGUGCCGUGAGGUGUCAGGUUAAGUCCUAUAACGAGCGCAACCCCUACCGUUAGUUGCCAGCGAGUCAUGUCGGGGACUCUAGCGGAACUGCCGGCGUAAGCCGCGAGGAAGGUGGGGAUGACGUCAAAUCAUCACGGCCCUUACGUCCUGGGCUACACACGUGCUACAAUGGUACGGACAAUGAGCAGCCACAUGGUGACAUGGAGCUAAUCUUCAAACCGUAUCUCAGUUCGGAUCGAAGUCUGCAACUCGACUUCGUGAAGCUGGAAUCGCUAGUAAUCGG
rnacentral:rRNA from 1 species